AUCCAAUUCUUCAUACUCACUUUCGGAAGAUGAAGUAAU
rnacentral:antisense_RNA from 1 species